CUCCCUUCUUGAUUUAUAGUGUGUGGGGGAGAGUUUUGAAAAAUGUUCGAGUUUUAACACCCUUCGUUACUGAGAGUUAUUACUUUUACCUUUCUCUCUCCAAGCUUGUUACGUUGAGAGAGAGAGAGAGAGAGAGAGAGAGAGAGAGAGGUGUAAUUCAACUCUGAAGUCGUGUGGUGUGCUUUGAGAACUGGGCUUGAGUUUUUAGCUGGCAUUGACUCAAAC
rnacentral:misc_RNA from 1 species